rnacentral:rRNA from 1 species
GCAGUCGAGGGGUAUAUUUCUUCGGAGAUAGAGACCGGCGCACGGGUGCGUAACGCGUAUGCAAUCUACCUUUUACAGAGGGAUAGCCCAGAGAAAUUUGGAUUAAUACCUCAUAGCAUUGCAGAAAGGCAUCUUUCAGCAAUUAAAGUCACAACGGUAAAAGAUGAGCAUGCGUCCCAUUAGCUAGUUGGUAAGGUAACGGCUUACCAAGGCUACGAUGGGUAGGGGUCCUGAGAGGGAGAUCCCCCACACUGGUACUGAGACACGGACCAGACUCCUACGGGAGGCAGCAGUGAGGAAUAUUGGUCAAUGGGCGCAAGCCUGAACCAGCCAUGCCGCGUGCAGGAUGACGGUCCUAUGGAUUGUAAACUGCUUUUGUACGGGAAGAAACAGCGAUUCGUGAAUCGCCUUGACGGUACCGUAAGAAUAAGGAUCGGCUAACUCCGUGCCAGCAGCCGCGGUAAUACGGAGGAUCCAAGCGUUAUCCGGAAUCAUUGGGUUUAAAGGGUCCGUAGGCGGUUUAGUAAGUCAGUGGUGAAAGCCCAUCGCUCAACGGUGGAACGGCCAUUGAUACUGCUAGACUUGAAUUAUUAGGAAGUAACUAGAAUAUGUAGUGUAGCGGUGAAAUGCUUAGAGAUUACAUGGAAUACCAAUUGCGAAGGCAGGUUACUACUAAUGGAUUGACGCUGAUGGACGAAAGCGUGGGUAGCGAACAGGAUUAGAUACCCUGGUAGUCCACGCCGUANACGAUGGAUACUAGCUGUUGGGAGCGAUCUCAGUGGCUAAGCGAAAGUGAUAAGUAUCCCACCUGGGGAGUACGUUCGCAAGAAUGAAAC